GAUGAACGCUGGCGGCGUGCCUAAUACAUGCAAGUCGAGCGAACUGAUUAGAAGCUUGCUUCUAUGACGUUAGCGACGGACGGGUGAGUAACACGUGGGCAACCUGCCCGUAAGACUGGGAUAACUUCGGGAAACCGAAGCUAAUACCGGAUAGGAUCUUCUCCUUCAUGGGAGAUGAUUGAAAGAUGGUUUCGGCUAUCACUUACAGAUGGGCCCGCGGUGCAUUAGCUAGUUGGUGAGGUAACGGCUCACCAAGGCAACGAUGCAUAGCCGAACUGAGAGGGUGAUCGGCCACACUGGGACUGAGACACGGCCCAGACUCCUACGGGAGGCAGCAGUAGGGAAUCUUCCGCAAUGGACGAAAGUCUGACGGAGCAACGCCGCGUGAGUGAUGAAGGCUUUCGGGUCGUAAAACUCUGUUGUUAGGGAAGAACAAGUACAAGAGUAACUGCUUGUACCUUGACGGUACCUAACCAGAAAGCCACGGCUAACUACGUGCCAGCAGCCGCCGCGG
rnacentral:rRNA from 1 species